CUCCACGUCGACAGUGGUGGUCAGCUCCGCGCGGAGCUGCUGCUGGAAGAGGUCCUGCAGGGUCUUCAGGGGCAGGGGCAGCUUCGGGAAAGAACACCCAGACGUGCAGGGAAGACGCCACGUGAAGAUGGAGGCCGAGAUCCAAGGGACGCGCGUGAACAAGCCCAGGGACUGCGAGGAGUGCCCGCCACCCCAGAAGCUGGAAGGGCAGGAAGGAUCCUACCCCUGGAGCCUUUGGAAGGAGUAGGCGCUGUCCUCAUCUGGAUUUCACAUUUAUGGGGCCCAGAACUGAAAGUGAAUAGUUUCUGGUUUUCUAAGCUACCAAGUUUGUGACACUUUGUUAAAGCCCCAGGAAACUCACAGGGGGGCUGAUCAGAAAAACCUCGUGUGAUAACUGGCUCUUCACAGAGGGAAUUAGAAAGUUUGUGACCUGGGAUGGGAAAAACACAACUCUUAUGCUCAGCAUUCCUGGACUACAGUGCAUGCCCAGCAAUGAUGGACACAGGGAGCAAACUACCUCAUGUUAAGGGUCAUUAACUACAGACUGAGAAUUUACAGGAGUUACUAGAGCUGCUCCUGGGCCUCGUUGUUUAAUGCAUUAAUAAAGCAGCAUAUAAAUCCUC